UACGGGGGGGGCAAGCGUUGUUCGGAAUUACUGGGCGUAAAGGGCGCGUAGGCGGCCUUCUAAGUCGAACGUGAAAUCCCCGGGCUCAACCCGGGAACUGCGUCCGAUACUGGAAGGCUUGAAUCCGGGAGAGGGAUGCGGAAUUCCAGGUGUAGCGGUGAAAUGCGUAGAUAUCCGGAGGAACACCGGUGGCGAAGGCGGCUUCCUGGACCGACACUGACGCUGAGGCGCGAAAGCUAGGGGAGCAAACGGG
rnacentral:rRNA from 1 species